UUCAGAACUUGGGCCCUGGUAAAAUAGGGCUGGCCUUAUCCCAAAGGCCUGCACUCCCAGUCUUGAAUGAGGGAGCCCCACUGUGGGAGCACCGUGUUCCCUGGGGACCUAAGAGAAUCCUCCCCUGCUGGGGUGGCAGAGACAGGCACAAGGAUAGACUGUCUCACUGUGCGCUGCUCCCCCGCAGAUUCCAGGACCUGCUCCUCUGUUUUCUUCAGGGUCUUGCUUUGUUCUUCUCUAUCACUUCUUCCCACCACUGGGGGUGUCCCAGCCUCCUUUCUCCUCUUCUCUAUUCUUUUCUUUUUUCUCCUCUUCUCUGUGGCAGGUGCCUCAGGACAGAAGCCACAGUCUGCACAGAGCAGGCUGUGCUCUCCUGAGGAACCCCCCAACACCGUUUGGUCUCUUCCAUCACUGCUCUGAGGACAAAUCUCUUUGCACACUUUGCAUAUUUUACUAACAGAGAAUGCUGACUGCUGAUAUGAUAUUAUUCUGGUGUGAAAGUGGGUGUCUUUAAUUAAUUUUAAUGACGGAUUCUCAAAGGUACAUCAGCAAAACAGUCUGAUGAAAAUGGGGAGGCUGCCUAUGAUCUGCCAGCUGAGGACUGGAUAGUUGCAAACAAAGAUCUGAUCGACAAGACGAAGUUCACCAUCACAGGUCUGCCAACAGAUGCAAAGAUCUUUGUGCGUGUGAAGGCUGUUAAUGCAGCUGGUGCCAGUGAGCCCAAGUACUAUUCUCAGCCCAUUCUCGUGAAGGAAAUCAUAGAACCUCCAAAGAUUCGCAUCCCAAGACACCUGAAGCAAACCUAUAUCCGCAGAGUUGGAGAAGCUGUCAAUCUGGUUAUACCUUUCCAGGGAAAACCAAGACCAGAAUUAACGUGGAAGAAGGAUGGUGUAGAAAUUGAUAAGAAUCAAAUAAACAUUCGCAACUCUGAGACUGAUACAAUCAUAUUUAUUAGAAAAGCAGAGAGGAGUCACUCUGGGAAAUAUGAUCUGCAAGUCAAAGUGGACAAAUUUGUGGAGACUGCAUCAAUUGACAUCCAGAUCAUUGACCGUCCAGGUCCACCCCAAACUGUGAAGAUUGAGGAUGUCUGGGGAGAAAAUGUCGCUCUCACAUGGACUCCACCAAAGGAUGAUGGAAAUGCUGCUAUCACAGGCUAUACCAUCCAGAAGGCUGACAAGAAGAGCAUGGAAUGGUUUACUGUCAUUGAGCAUUAUCACCGAACCAGUGCCACCAUUACUGAAUUGGUCAUAGGGAAUGAAUAUUACUUCCGGGUCUUUUCUGAAAACAUGUGCGGCCUCAGCGAGGAUGCCACCAUGACUAAAGAGAGUGCAGUGAUUGCCAAGGAUGGUAAAAUCUACAAAAAUCCAGUGUAUGAAGACUUUGAUUUCUCAGAGGCACCCAUGUUUACUCAGCCUUUGGUUAACACCUAUGCCAUAGCUGGUUACAAUGCCACCCUAAACUGCAGUGUGAGAGGAAAUCCUAAGCCUAAAAUAACCUGGAUGAAAAACAAAGUUGCUAUUGUGGAUGAUCCAAGAUACAGGAUGUUCAGCAACCAGGGAGUCUGUACCCUGGAAAUUCGCAAGCCCAGCCCCUAUGAUGGAGGCACUUACUGCUGCAAAGCAGUCAAUGACCUUGGAACAGUGGAGAUUGAAUGCAAACUGGAGGUGAAAGGUGGGCUCUCCUUCUGCAGGCUCCUCUUGCAAGGCGUACCUCCAAACAUAAUUGAUUCAUAUCUGCGAGACUUACACUCAAGCAAUCCUGAGGAAUACUGAGGGAGGGCCUGGCCACUGCCUCUCUGCACUCUGCUGCUUUGAAAUCUGGUUGAAAUGAGAAAAAGCAUUUUCUGUUUUCCCACCAGGCCCCCAAGUGUGGUCUUUUUCUUUCCUCCUAAUGUUGAAGAG
rnacentral:sRNA from 1 species